rnacentral:rRNA from 1 species
AUUGAACGCUGGCGGCGUGCCUAACACAUGCAAGUCGAGCGGUAACAGGUGUAGCAAUACAUGCUGACGAGCGGCGGACGGGUGAGCAAUAUUUGGGAAUCUGCCUAUUAGUGGGGGAUAACCCGGGGAAACUCGGGCUAAUACCGCAUACGCUCUACGGAGGAAAGCCGGGGACCGCAAGGCCUGGCGCUAGUAGAUGAGCCCAAAUCGGAUUAGCUAGUUGGUGAGGAACGGCUCACCAAGGCGACGAUCCGUAGCUGGUUUGAGAGAACGACCAGCACACCGGAACUGAGACACGGUCCGGACUCCUACGGGAGGCAGCAGUGGGGAAUAUUGGACAAUGGGCGAAAGCCUGAUCCAGCGACGCCGCGUGGGUGAAGAAGGCCUGCGGGUUGUAAAGCCCUUUCGGUUGGGAAGAAAAGUAUUGGCCUAAUACGCUAGUACCUUGACGUAACCAACAAAAGAAGCACCGGCUAACUCUGUGCCAGCAGCCG